rnacentral:lncRNA from 1 species
CCAUGCUAAAAUUUGGCCAAAAACCAUUAUUUUAAUUUCAUUUAGAUUUUAAAUCUCAUUGUGAAUUUUGUGGGUGGGUGUGCAUGGAUUUCGAAUUGUGAAUGAUAGUCAUUGGGUCUUAAAACACGUUUCAUUGUGGUGAAUAGCUCCCUUGGCCUCCCAAUUACCCCAAGGGUUUCAAGAGCCUCAGGUUUCCCUCCAUCAGUCAUUCAAUUGUUUUAGUUACAAUGUGAUUUUUUUUGUGGUUGUAUCUUUUGUUGUUAGCUUUUCAACAAGAUAAGGCUCGCUCCAUUUGGAGUUAAACUGAAUUUUUGGUGAAAUUUUGAGUGUGAGGGGAUCGACUGCCUUUGCAGUUUGGAUUAAUCGAGUUUGGGAAGGCAUUUCUCAGUGCCUGAUAACUAGAUUCGUUUGAAAUUUUUGGAGAAUCAAGACUUGUAAGCUGAGCUUUGAAGGGCAUAAGUUUCGCUGGAUUUGAAGACAGUUUGAAUUUUUAGCGAAUUUCUAAGUGAAGGGGGUUGGUCACCGCGGCAGUUUGGAUCACUCAACUUCAAAGGAGCAAUUCUCACGACUGGAUCACUAGAUUGCAAUGAGAUUUAUUGGGGCAGGAGCGUCUUUAAGUUGACCUUGCAAAAAAAUGCGAAUCAUUCAAUUUGGAGCUAAUUAAAAUUUUUGGCGAAUUUUGGAGUAGAAGGGGAUCACUGCCUUCAAUCCUUGGCGUUGUCAAGGUACCUUCGCUUUUACCCCUCUUAUUUUAUUUUUACUUUUAUCUUCACAGUAACUCGUAAUCUCCACAUUUC